AGUGAACGCUGGCGGUAGGCCUAACACAUGCAAGUCGAACGGCAGCACAGUAAGAGCUUGCUCUUACGGGUGGCGAGUGGCGGACGGGUGAGGAAUACAUCGGAAUCUACUUUUUCGUGGGGGAUAACGUAGGGAAACUUACGCUAAUACCGCAUACGACCUACGGGUGAAAGCAGGGGAUCUUCGGACCUUGCGCGAUUGAAUGAGCCGAUGUCGGAUUAGCUAGUUGGCGGGGUAAAGGCCCACCAAGGCGACGAUCCGUAGCUGGUCUGAGAGGAUGAUCAGCCACACUGGAACUGAGACACGGUCCAGACUCCUACGGGAGGCAGCAGUGGGGAAUAGUGGACAAUGGGCGCAAGCCUGAUCCAGCCAUACCGCGUGGGUGAAGAAGGCCUUCGGGUUGUAAAGCCCUUUUGUUGGGAAAGAAAAGCAGCAGGUUAAUACCCCGCUGUUCUGACGGUACCCAAAGAACAAGCACCGGCUAACUUCGUG
rnacentral:rRNA from 1 species